UUAAGGGAGACCUACCCAACUUAUUGAUUCGAUUGUUAUUGGUAACGAUUGAGGUAAUAUUAAUAAGAUGGUCAACCAAAGGUCGAAUCGCUGAUGAUUUAGAUGUAUAGCUUUCAAACUAUAAAUUUGGUUCGGAAUUGGGCUAUUAGCUCAGGUGGUUAGAGCGCACCCCUGAUAAGGGUGAGGUCCCUGGUUCGAGUCCAGGAUGGCCCACCUGAACAAGAAAAAAGUCUUUAGAUAAAAGUAAAAACAAAGAUUGAUGAUUUUUUUUGCUUUUAAAUUUAAUCUUUUAACUUGUAUCGUGGGGGUUUAGCUCAGUUGGUAGAGCGCCUGCUUUGCAAGCAGGAUGUCAGCGGUUCGAGUCCGCUAACCUCCACUGUGAAAAAGAAAUGAAAUAUUUAGCACCUAAACUAGGAACAAUUAUGGUUUAUAGUUUAGAAUGCUGAAAAGAAUUUCAGCCAGAACCAUGAAAACUGCAUAGUGACGCAAAAGUAAUGUAGGUAGUAAUCUCUUUACGACUGAAUAAUUUUCCGGUUGGCAACAACUUGGGGAUUGAUAAGUCAAAAUUUGAUUGGAUACGUACAUCACAGACAAUUGAUGCCGGAUAUUAUU
rnacentral:misc_RNA from 1 species